CAGAAAACUUACAAGGAACUCAGAAGGUGACAGUGCAGGUCAGGAUUGUGCUUCAUGAUGAUAUAUCCAUAGGAAUGUAGAAAGCUGCCUGAUUUUAACUUGAUAUUUUCAUUGCCGGAUCUCAGGAUGAAGUGUUCAACAGAUGACUAUAGUAAAAAUUGCCAAGAUCUGAAAUGCAAUUUCACAAAGUAACAGUGGCAUAAAUCUUUCAUCUGUAAAGCUAGAUUCCUGCUGUUCUUCCCUAACAGUUCUUUUCUGCUUUGUUACCCAAGCAAUACUUUGAAAUCUGCUUAGAGAUAAUAAAGUCAAUUGGUCUGAAAAUGAUCCUUAGUUUGCUUCAUG